AGACGUCUCCGUGUGAUGCGCGUGCUGCCGGAAGCGUCGCGUGGCCUCCUCGCACGCGGAUGAUCGUCGAUGACAUUUUUUGUCGAUCGCGGGAGGAGUGGGGGGUGGGGCUGCACCGCCUCUUCCCGAGCCCCCUGAGAUCAGGUCGCCUGCGCGUUUCACCCUCGCGCACAGCACCACUGCGCGUGGUAAACACAGGCGCGCAGAGACAAAGCUCACCCGUAUAGCCUCGAACGGUCUGUUGGGUCGAGUGCCGUUUACGAGCACGAGCUCAUGUGACCCAGGUCUCCCUCGGUGUGAAUGGCUCUCAGCAGGGCAUAUACAGAGGCCUUCCUCCCUCUGCUCACAGGCCCGGCCAUCCGCCCCUCCUCAUUUCAUCUGAAGGUCAACCUGUCAGAUGAGACGCCUGCCGCGGUCUCUGGGGCUCUCUCCCGGACACGAGAAACAAGCUCGACUCGAGCGCAGCCAUCUCCGUGGAGAGCCGGGUCGAGGCACGGGCUGAGAAGAGAAGUCCGGGGCGCAUCGUCGCCCGGCGGGGACGAGGAGCGGACGGGGGAGGGGCGAGUCGCGGUCGGUGUUGGGAAUGCG